rnacentral:rRNA from 1 species
GACGAACGCUGGCGGCGUGCUUAACACAUGCAAGUCGAACGGAAAGGCCCUGCUUUUGUGGGGUGCUCGAGUGGCGAACGGGUGAGUAACACGUGAGUAACCUGCCCUUGACUUUGGGAUAACUUCAGGAAACUGGGGCUAAUACCGGAUAGGAGCUCCUGCUGCAUGGUGGGGGUUGGAAAGUUUCGGCGGUUGGGGAUGGACUCGCGGCUUAUCAGCUUGUUGGUGGGGUAGUGGCUUACCAAGGCUUUGACGGGUAGCCGGCCUGAGAGGGUGACCGGCCACAUUGGGACUGAGAUACGGCCCAGACUCCUACGGGAGGCAGCAGUGGGGAAUAUUGCACAAUGGGCGGAAGCCUGAUGCAGCAACGCCGCGUGCGGGAUGACGGCCUUCGGGUUGUAAACCGCUUUCGCCUGUGACGAAGCGUGAGUGACGGUAACGGGUAAAGAAGCACCGGCUAAUUACGUG